rnacentral:rRNA from 1 species
GAUGAACGCUGGCUGCGUGCCUAAUACAUGCAAGUCGAGCGAACAGACGAGGAGCUUGCUCCUCUGACGUUAGCGGCGGACGGGUGAGUAACACGUGGAUAACCUACCUAUAAGACUGGGAUAACUUCGGGAAACCGGAGCUAAUACCGGAUAAUAUAUUGAACCGCAUGGUUCAAUAGUGAAAGACGGUUUUGCUGUCACUUAUAGAUGGAUCCGCGCCGCAUUAGCUAGUUGGUAAGGUAACGGCUUACCAAGGCAACGAUGCGUAGCCGACCUGAGAGGGUGAUCGGCCACACUGGAACUGAGACACGGUCCAGACUCCUACGGGAGGCAGCAGUAGGGAAUCUUCCGCAAUGGGCGAAAGCCUGACGGAGCAGCGCCGCGUGAGUGAUGAAGGUCUUCGGAUCGUAAAACUCUGUUAUUAGGGAAGAACAAAUGUGUAAGUAACUAUGCACGUCUUGACGGUACCUAAUCAGAAAGCCAUGGCUAACUACGUGCCAGCCGCCGCCGUAAAAC